rnacentral:lncRNA from 1 species
ACAAUUAUCCCUUUCCACCAAUCAUAAUUAAGAAUAAAAAAAUAAAAGAAGAAAAAACUAACUACAAAGGAAAGCAGAAAAAAGGGGAGGCGUGACAUUCAUUUUCACCCCAGCCUACCACGUUGUGACACGUGGAUUUCUCCCUAUCUUUUUUUCGGUUUGAAAGGCAAAUGAAAAUAAUAUUUGGAAGUCCCUCCAUCUAGGAUGAGCCACGCACCCACUACCUUGG